CUUUGCAAUGUGCGCAAGCACGACAAGGUUAAUCCGAGUGUUUCCUGCUAAAGGAAUCUUUUGUUAGUCCUAAAAACACUAGUGAAUAAGGGGUGGGCAAGUUCUGGUGUCAGCCGCCGCGGUAAAACCAGCACCUCAAGUGGUCAGGAGGAUUAUUGGGCCUAAAGCAUCCGUAGCUUGCUCUGUAAGUUUCCGGUUAAAUCCAUUAGCUCAACUAACGGGCUGCCGGAAAAACUGCAUAGCUAGGAAGUGGGAGAGGUAGACGGUACUCGGUAGGAAGGGGUAAAAUCCUUUGAUCUAUUGAUGACCACCUGUGGCGAAGGCGGUCUACCAGAACACGUUCGACAGUGAGGGAUGAAAGCUGGGGGAGCAAACCGGG
rnacentral:rRNA from 1 species